GACGAACGUUGGCGGCGUGCUUAAUACAUGCAAGUCCACUGAAGCAGUGGUAGCAAUAUCGCUGUGGAGGUGGCGCACGGGUGAGUAACACGUAGGUAAUCUGCCUUCAGGUCUGGCAUAACUCCGGGAAACCGGGGCUAAUAGCAGAUGAUGCAGCGGCUCGACAUCGAGACAGUUGUUAAAGCUAUGGCGCCUGAAGAUGAGCCUGCGUCUGAUUAGCUAGUUGGCGGGGUAACGGCCCACCAAGGCAACGAUCAGUAGCUGGUCUGAGAGGAUGAUCAGCCACACUGGAACUGAGACACGGUCCAGACCACUACGGGAGGCAGCAGUAAGGAAUAUUGCUCAAUGGGAGAAAUCCUGAAGCAGCAACGCCGCGUGAGGGACGAAGGGCUUUUGCUUGUAAACCUCUGUAGUGAGAGAAAAAAAUCCCAAUCUUUGGGACAUGAUGGUAUCUCAAAAGUAAGCCCCGGCUAACUACGUG
rnacentral:rRNA from 1 species